rnacentral:lncRNA from 1 species
AUUGACAUCAACGAUUUCAUCGAUUUUUGGACUCAGAAUACACUGUACCCUUCUGUACAAAUAUAAAGCUCCAAAAACCCCCAAGCCACAAAGAAAGCAAAACACAGUUGCUUCGAUGGACGAGAUAACCCCCAAAUCAAAUACCAAUUCUUUCUCCUCACCAAGAAUCACUUAGAUCCACCCUUCACACAGAAAACUAACCCCCCAAGUCACAGAAGACUUCAAGGGAAUCACGAAGAAGACGAAGGAGAAUGAAAUAAAAAAGACACAUUUUUUAGAGAGUUCAAGUGACGAGAGGAA